GAUGGCAACAACAGAAAAUAGAGGAGGGAAGUUCCUACCAGGACACUGAUUCUGCUUUACCACAGAUCCAGUGUAAUGGGGCACCUCACUACACAGAAGGUGAUGUUGCAUCAGCACACUGGCAGGAUGCAGAACAAUGGGGAGAAACUGGAACUUUAAAGAAAAUUAAGUGACCUGUGUCAGACAUCCACCUUAAGGAGGGAUCAAUUACCCUCUGGAAAUACCUGUUUCUCCU